AAGUCGUAACAAGGUUUCCGUAGGUGAACCUGCGGAAGGAUCAUUAACACGUUUUCCAACGUUUUUGACCACUUUCUAUUUUCCGUGCACCCUUUGCGUCCGGCCUCCCAGCCGCCUAUCGAGUUUACUCGGUGUGGCCUGUUGGGCGUCCUGUUUGGGAUCCAAGAAGUUCACUCUUCUCCUGAACGUGGGCGUUGCCACCUCACCCAAACCCUUUAAUCUAAUCUAUCUGAACUUUUAGUUGGUGCAAGAUUUAUUUCUUGAAACAACGAUUUACAAACAAACAACAACUCUUAACAACGGAUAUCUUGGUUCUC
rnacentral:misc_RNA from 1 species